CGACCUAUGGUGCAGAGGGAGCAUAUUGGACUCUGAAUCCAAGGACGCAGGUUCGAUUCCUGCUAGGUCGG
rnacentral:tRNA from 1 species